rnacentral:rRNA from 1 species
AAUUCGCCUUCAUGAAGCUGGAAUUGCUAGUAAUGGCAGGUCAGCAUACUGCCGUGAAUACGUUCCCGGGCCUUGUACACACCGCCCGUCACACCAUGAGAGUUGGAAAUACCCGAAGCCUGUGAGCUAACUGUAAAGAGGCAGCAGUCGAAGGUAGAGCCAAUGAUUGGGGUGAAGUCGUAACAAGGUACC